CUGCAGCCUGCACCAGGCAGAAGGGCCCAUGGAAGCUGCUGCCGCGCUGAGAGGUGACACCAGCAGGGGAAGAGCUUCAGCCCUUGCGAAAUGCGGAGCCCUUCCCUGCCAAGCUCGGGGCUCCAGCGACGGGGAGCGUCCCCCCCCUGCAGCGCCGCGCCGCCCACGUCCUGUACAUACACCCCCCUGUAUCUAUAUCCGUGCUCUGUGUGGUGUGCGUGGGUCUGGUGUAAGACAUUGUGACUGGAACACGAUGGAGAGCGUUUCUGCUUUAAGCCUUCUUCUUCCGAGCAA